ensembl:snRNA U2 U2 spliceosomal RNA
UUGACUUCUCUGCCUUUUGGCUAAGAUCAGGUGUAGUAUCUGUUCUUAUCAGUUUAAUAUCUGAUACGUUCCCUACCCGGGGACCAUAAAUUAAAUUGAUUUUUGGAGCAGGGAGCUGGAAUGUGGGCUUGCUCCUUCCACUCCACACAUCGACCUGGAAUUGCAUUACCUCCAGGUACCUCCAGGUACGAUGCACAUCCC